GACGAACGCUGGCGGCGUGCUUAACACAUGCAAGUCGAACGAUGACGACCGAGCUUACUCGGUCUGAUUAGUGGCGAACGGGUGAGUAACACGUGAGCAACCUGCCCUUCACUCUGGGAUAACCUCGGGAAAUCGGGGCUAAUACCGGAUAUGAGCUCCUGUCGCAUGGCGGGUGUUGGAAAGUUUUUCGGUGAAGGAUGGGCUCGCGGCCUAUCAGUUUGUUGGUGAGGUAGUGGCUCACCAAGGCGAUGACGGGUAGCCGGCCUGAGAGGGCGACCGGCCACACUGGGACUGAGACACGGCCCAGACUCCUACGGGAGGCAGCAGUGGGGAAUAUUGCACAAUGGGCGAAAGCCUGAUGCAGCGACGCCGCGUGAGGGAUGACGGCCUUCGGGUUGUAAACCUCUUUCAGCAGGGAAGAAGCGAAAGUGACGGUACCUGCAGAAGAAGCGCCGGCUAACUACGUG
rnacentral:rRNA from 1 species